rnacentral:tRNA from 1 species
CCAACCUUAGCUCAGUUGGUAGAGCGGAGGACUGUAGUGGGGUUAACCCAAUAGAUAUCCUUAAGUUGUUGGUUUGAAUCCAACAAGUCAGA